rnacentral:rRNA from 1 species
UACGUAGGGGGCAAGCGUUGUCCGGAUUUAUUGGGCGUAAAGAGCGUGUAGGCGGCCAUGUAGGUCUGACGUGAAAUUCCGAGGCUCAACCUCGGCAGGUCGUUGGAAACCAUAUGGCUAGAGUCCGGAAGAGGAGAGUGGAAUUCCUGGUGUAGCGGUGAAAUGCGCAGAUAUCAGGAAGAACACCAAUGGCGAAGGCAGCUCUCUGGGACGGUACUGACGCUGAGACGCGAAAGCGUGGGGAGCGAACAGG